rnacentral:rRNA from 1 species
UACGAAGGGGGCUAGCGUUGCUCGGAAUUACUGGGCGUAAAGCGCACGUAGGCGGCUUCUUAAGUCGGAGGUGAAAUCCUGGAGCUCAACUCCAGAACUGCCUUCGAUACUGGGAAGCUCGAGUCCGGGAGAGGUGAGUGGAACUGCGAGUGUAGAGGUGAAAUUCGUAGAUAUUCGCAAGAACACCAGUGGCGAAGGCGGCUCACUGGUCCGGUACUGACGCUGAGGUGCGAAAGCGUGGGGAGCAAACAGG